UUCCACAUCUUCGAUCUUCCCCGCCUCUUGAAUCCAAUUAAAGACAGUUGGGAUUUCCCAUGAAUCCUUGUAAAUGACAGCUCCAAGACCAUCAGGAAAAACUCGGGGAAUAUUAUCGGUAAAACCACCGCCUGUGAUGUGGGCUAUCCCCUUAACCCCACCCUUACUGAUAAUGUCAAGUACCUGUUUGACAUAUAUCACAGUAGGG
rnacentral:misc_RNA from 1 species